GACAAAAGUGGGGGACCUUCGGGCCUCAUGCCAUCAGAUGUGCCCAGAUGGGAUUAGCUAGUAGGUGGGGUAACGGCUCACCUAGGCGACGAUCCCUAGCUGGUCUGAGAGGAUGACCAGCCACACUGGAACUGAGACACGGUCCAGACUCCUACGGGAGGCAGCAGUGGGGAAUAUUGCACAAUGGGCGCAAGCCUGAUGCAGCCAUGCCGCGUGUGUGAAGAAGGCCUUCGGGUUGUAAAGCACUUUCAGCGGGGAGGAAGGCGUUAAGGUUAAUAACCUUGGCGAUUGACGUUACCCGCAGAAGAAGCACCGGCUAACUCCGUGCCAGCAGCCGCGGUAAUACGGAGGGUGCAAGCGUUAAUCGGAAUUACUGGGCGUAAAGUGCACGCAGGCGCUCUGUCAAGUCCGAUGUGAAAUCCCCGGGCUCAACCUGGGAACUGCAUUCGAAACUGGCAGGCUAGAAUCUUGUAGAGGGGGGUAGCAUACCAGGUGGUUCGCCGCAAUGCGUAGA
rnacentral:rRNA from 1 species